GAUGAACGCUGGCGGCGUGCCUAAUACAUGCAAGUCGAGCGAACAGACGAGGAGCUUGCUCCUCUGACGUUAGCGGAGGGCGGGUGAGUAACACGUGUAUAACCUACUUAUAAGACGGGGAUAACUUCGGGAAACCGGCGCUAAUACCGGAUAAUAUACUGAACCGCAUGGUGCAAUAGUGAAAUACGGUUUUGCUGUCACUUAUAGAGGGAUCCGCGCCGCAUUAGCUAGUUGGUAAGGUAACGGCUUACGAAGGCAACGAUGCGUGGCCGAGCUGAGAGGGUGAUCGGCCACACUGGAACUGAGACACGGUCCAGACUCCUGCGGGAGGCAGCAGUAGGGAAUCUUCCGCAAUGGGCGAAAGCUUGACGGAGCAACGCCGCGUGAGUGAUGAAGGUCUUCGGAUCGUAAAACUCUGUUAUUAGGGAAGAACAAAUGUGUAAGUAACUAUGCACGUCUUGACGGUACCUAAUCAGAAAGCCCCGGCUAACUACGUG
rnacentral:rRNA from 1 species